UAAGGAAUAUUGGUCAAUGGACGCAAGUCUGAACCAGCCAUGCCGCGUGGAGGAUGAAGGUCCUCUGGAUUGUAAACUUCUUUUAUCUGGGACGAAACACUUCUUUUCUAAGAGGCCUGACGGUACCAGAUGAAUAAGCACCGGCUAACUCCGUGCCAGCAGCCGCGGUAAUACGGAGGGUGCAAGCGUUAUCCGGAUUCACUGGGUUUAAAGGGUGCGUAGGUGGGUAUGUAAGUCAGUGGUGAAAUCCCCGAGCUUAACUUGGGAACUGCCAGUGAUACUAUAUAGCUUGAAUACCGUAGAGGUAAGCGGAAUAUGUCAUGUAGCGGUGAAAUGCUUAGAUAUGACAUGGAACACCAAUUGCGAAGGCAGCUUACUAUGCGGUGAUUGACACUGAGGCACGAAAGCGUGGGUA
rnacentral:rRNA from 1 species